CGAGGUGCUGCAUGGUUGUUGUCAGCUCGUGCCGUGAGGUGUCGGCUUAAGUGCCAUAACGAGCGCAACCCCUACCGCCAGUUGCCAACAGGCAAAGCUGGGGACUCUGGCGGGACUGCCGGCGCAAGCUGCGAGGAAGGCGGGGAUGACGUCAAAUCAGCACGGCCCUUACGUCCGGGGCGACACACGUGUUACAAUGGCAGGUACAGCGGGAAGCCACCUGGCGACAGGGAGCGGAACCCGAAAGCCUGUCUCAGUUCGGAUUGGAGUCUGCAACCCGACUCCAUGAAGCUGGAUUCGCUAGUAAUCGCGCAUCAGCCACGGCGCGGUGAAUACGUUCCCGGGCCUUGUACACACCGCCCGUCAAGCCAUGGGAGUCGGGAGUGCCUGAAGUGCGUGAGCGCGAGCAGCGCCCUAGGGCAAAACCGAUGACUGGGGCUAAGUCGUAACAAGGUAACCGU
rnacentral:rRNA from 1 species